UGGGAUCAAACACAGUACCUCCUGCAUGCAGGUGAGUGCUCAACCACUGAGCUACAGCUGCAGCCAGAAUUUCAGUUGUAUGAAAUAUCAACACCUUCUCCCCCUCCUUCACUUUUACUGAACGAAGCAGCUAGUCGGAUGUGUGUGCAAUAAGGAAGAGCUCUUGGGAAUUUCCAAUAAAACAGAAACCGCCCCAACAUCACGUCUCACACAUCUUCUCUGGAACCUGUGAUAGUUUUGUGCGUUUGAGUUCAUCAUUUUCCUUGGGUGAGCAUUUUCCCAGGCUGUGAAAUGGCUCCGUUUGUGUACUCCAUUACACAUGAGAAUGUAGAAAUUCCAUUUGUUUAACUGGCCAAAGAAACAACAUGCAACCACUGCAGGAUGCUUCACCCAACACACAUUCCUAAAAGAGCUACAGCUUCAGAAUAUUUUGCAUACUGAACCCACGGAGGAGGCUUCAGGUGGUACAAGGUCCCUUCGACAGUUAACAGAGCAUGUCACCCUCAAGAAAAGCCAACGCUGCCUUUGUCAUUUGUAUCUCUUGAAGUCCUUGUCUCCGGUGAGCUAAUUAUGCGAAGUUCACCGUAAUGUGAAAUCAACUAAGGCAGGAAGUUUCCUUCAAUUUUUCUUAUGCUUGCAAGAUGUAUGGCCUUUUAAAAAUGUAUUCAAAUAAAUAUAUUCACUCGA